CUUCAGGCCACCCUCUCGUCGCUAUACCAAGCGGCUCGCAGUCUCCUUCUCUCGGUCAGUGAGCGGUGGAGCGUUGACCUGAUGUGAUAAGUUCUUGUGUGUGUUUUUCAAAAAUAUUUCCACAUUUUUCCCGACCUUUUUUCCUCAAUAUUUCGCUCGAGACCAAUUUUUUGAGCCUUCAAUUAAAAAAAAAAAAAAAAAUCUCCACAGGUUUGAUAGAAAAACUGAUGGAGUGAGGAACAUCAUCAUUUGAGUGUUUUUGCAUCUAAUAUCAUCUACAUGUCAUCAUAUUGAUAGUACAGUGUACAAUUUAUUUUUAACCAACUCAUAAAGACUGAGAUCAAAGGAAGAACAGUUUAAAUUUAAUAUUCUUCAUCACUUGAAACAUCAUCAGGCCAAACAAGAAAUAUCAACAGACAUAAAAAUGUGAUUAAAUCUUUUCAACCAUUGGUAGCAGUGGUACUUAAUUGCUAUGAUUUAUUUUCCAAAAAAAAUUGAAAAAUGAUAAUAAUAAUUAGCAGCAAUUAAUAAACUAAAAUUAAAGAUAAAUAUUCAAACACCAAGCAAUAAAGUAGAGAUUAAUCAUCCAGUUAAUUUAUCUGGAAUAAUGUGAUUCAAAGUAAAAGUGAAGAGUGUUAUUAAUGACACCUGAACCAUCUACUAUCAUCUUGAAUACAAAUCAUCAUAAAUGAUACAAGAAGUAGAUAUUCAUCAAGAAGUGAAGAGAGUGCAGGACAUUAAAAAGCUCUGAGAGCUUGUGGAUGAUACGGAAGCAGUGAUAAAGCAAAAAAAAAUUCAAAGAAAAAGUUAGUAAUCCUGUGGCUCUAGUUCUGGACUGUGAAAGAAAAAGGAAUGGCAAGUCGUAUGAAAGCUCUGUACAACCAGGUGAUAUUCGAAAGAAGGAUUCUCCUGGGAUGUACUAUUCUCAUCGGUUUAGCAGUAUGUGUGUGGGCCAUAGCAAUUUGUACUGAUCAUUGGUACACAGUUCAAUCCCCUGCUAAUCAACCUUAUGGUCUACUGCUCAAAGAUCCUGAAAAAACUGGCAGGACAUUAGUAUACAGAAAUCAAGGACUUUGGAGAGAUUGUCUAGAAGGCUACGAACCUGCUCAAAAAAAUAAUACCAAAGAUUUAAUACCUUAUAAGAUCUGUUCAUAUCAAGAAAUGUUUCCAACGGAGGAAAAUAUCAGAUUCGACCUGGAUUUCGAUGCAACUGUUCUUAGCUAUGCUAGAACCCAAGUUUCUUUCGCUAUUAUUAGUAUGAUUAUUAUGCUUAUGGGAUUUUCAUUUUCUAUUUAUACUUUCCGAAACCCGCGCUAUAUGUUUAAAAGAUUAGCUGGUGGUAUACACUUCAUUAGUGCUGCCUGCGUAAUGGUUGUUAUCCAAGUAGUCUUAUCAACAAUGGAGUACGGUAGUAAAAAUACCAUAAAAGGAUUUCCCAAAGGAGCUUUAAUACACUACGGAUUCUCUCUAGUCCUUGCGUGGUUCGUCUGCAUGGGUAACCUCCUAGCUGGAUGUGCUUUUAUCCUCUUUUCUAAAAAAAGGAAACGUGAUAAAGCACCAACUGAAGAAAUAGCUAUGGCUGAUGAACCAACUAUCAUCGGUCGCUGAUGAUGAUAAUGAUGAUAAAGAGAAAAAAUCAUUUUUAAAAUAGAAUUAUACGUGUUUAAAAAUAUUUUUCCUACCAUCUCCCACAUUGGCGACUUUCAAAUGUACCUGUAAAACUCUUCUUAAAUAAUAAAAAAGACACUGUAUAUAGUAUCAAUUCUGCUGGCUUCGAGGAUCAAUGAUUAACUAAAUGAAUUUUAACAGACUUUCAACAAAUAUUUGUGCUUCGUGUGAUCAUGAUAAAGUGUUUAUAUGACAUAUGUUUUCACAACGAAUGUCUCUAGUUACAACAAAUAAAAAUAAUUCAUACAUUAUAA
rnacentral:misc_RNA from 1 species